UUGCGCCACUGCACUCCAGCCUGCGCGACAGAACGACUCCGUCUCAAAAAAAAAGAGAAAGAACUAACACUUCCUGAGUCUCAGAUCUGUGCCAGUCACUGUGAUGAGGAACUUAGAGAUGAAGAGGAAACUCACCCGAGUUCACUCAGUUAAUAAACAGGAAACAUAUCCUACUCCUAAACCAUCCACUCCGCCCUCUGCUUCUGGACAGAGAUCUUUCAUGAGUGUUGGUUGGUGACAAGAACAUGAAACUACAUAGUUUGGAAAAUUUUCAGGUUUUUUUUUUUUUUUUUU
rnacentral:lncRNA from 10 species